CACUCUGUGGGAAGGGGAACAGGUGUGAACUAGUUAAUGAAUUACAUUUAUAGUUCAUAUUUGCACAAUUUUUGUCAACCAAUCCAAUUCCAUGUUUAAACAAAACAACAAUACUGUGAUAGGUUUGGGAAACCUACUUUGCUACUAUGUGGAACAGUAGUAUGUAAAAAUAGUAAUAUGUCCGAAUUCAUAGUUCAUUAAAAACAAAUUGUAGGCGAAAUACAUUCUACUUGACAUUCUAAAGCAACUUCUGUAUUGCUUUUAUACAACAGUUCGAUAAACUAAAUAUUAAUAUUGCGCAACUAUCAUUUUAGUCACGAUAUUGCCAGUUGCCUACUUACAAAAUACAAAUUGUGCUCUACGUUCAAAAAUAGUUCAGUUAAAACAAAAAAGAAUGCUUUCGAAUAAAUCACUUGAGUGAAUAAUUCAAUUCACUGAAUUCUCGCUCAUUAAGACAGUUGUUUUGUUCCUGAAUGAAUCAAUAUUUUGAAUGAAUCAUUUAAGUAAAUGAUUCAAUAUCUCACUCACAGUGUAAUACUGUUUAAAAAAAAAAAAAAAGAAAGAUCCACCAAAACAUUCCAACCACUAAUGCACAAACUGACAAGCCAGCAGAGCUGGGUAAAUUACUUGUCAACUGUAAACCAAUGACAAACAUUGUAGUCAGUUUCGUAAUCCAUUACAUUACACAUUUUAGGAAAUGUAAUCGGACUACUUUUUGAUUACUUUCAGAUUACGUUUGAAUUAACUCUUUUAUCACAUUGAUUUAAAUAGAAUAAUCUUGUACCAUAUUGAUAAAAAAAUGCAAAGAUAAUAUAUUCCAUUCAUUGUUAGUAACAACCUAUAAAGUGCAUUAAAUGUAUUACUCCCUUGGCUAAUUGCUAGUUUGUAAGAAAAUGUGCUUCAGGGUUGGUCACACUAGACUACAAUACAGUUCUUCGGGCACUUGUCUUUUAAAAAAAAUAUAAAUUCAACAAAUAAUAAUAAUAAUUAAAAAAAUGAAAAUAACCUCACAUCCACUUUCCUACAAUGCCACAAAUCUUCAGUUUUAAAGCUUUUAAGAGGUCAUGCUAUGAUGUCACCCAACCUGUAAAUUUGAAUGCUUUGGAAUGCAAAACUUCUUUGCAUAAGCUCGUGUCUCCAGAAUUCUCACUCAUAUGAAUUGAAGUGAAUGGCAGUGUAGUGUGACCGACCGAAAAGCUUAACAUAAUGGCUGUGUUUAUGCAACUAGCCUCUGAUAUACAGUACAAUACACUGUAACAAAUUUCUGUAGUUUUCACAGCAUUAUUACUGUAAAACGGGCAAAUGCUUACUGUAAAACCUGUAUACAGCAUGUUACUGUAGAUCUGCAAAGCAUCAUGGUCAAUUUUCAAUGGUGGGAAAUUCUACAGUAAAAAUAUUUUUUUCUGUGAAUCACAAUACAGCAAUUUCUAGAGGAUUUUUUUUCCCCAGAAAUGGAAAGCUGAAAAGCUAGAUUCCACACUUUCAUUGGAAUUUUAACUUCAGAAAGGUAACUUUGCUGAUUUAUUUCCACAGUUUACUCUAGUCAAGUUAACUAUUUGUUCAACUAAUUUAUUAUUUAUUAUUAUUUGUUCAAGAGUGCACUGAGAGAGAGAGAGGUAAAAGAGCGGGACACUUCCUAGUAAACUCGUGUCUUGUGUGCAUUUUAUUAGCAAAAAAAAAAAAAAAAAAAAAAAAAAAAUAGUGCAUAAUUUCGAUCGAUUUUCUAAUCUGGCAACAUUCGAUAACGUCAUCAGUUUAGAGAAGGAUAGCAUUGUUGAAUAAAAAUUUAAUUGGAAUUGUGUAUGUGUCUGUUGGUGCACUAGCAGGAGUUUUCUCCAGCCAGCUAACGUCAACUGUCACCGCCGACACCGCGUGCGUGCGUGUGGAGCAGUAAGCCAAGCCAGCCCGACUCCAGAGUCCAGACUCGACAGAAAACGCAGUUAGAGGAAACUUCCCCCCAAGCAGACGUUGAGGACCAGAUUUCUCUGCCAAGCACUCUAAGACUCAUCAUGCUCGGAGAGUCCAUUCUGGGGGCAAAUAGGUGGAUGCUUUCCAUCGAGGGCAGAGUUCUCCAACCAAAUCCAACUGAGUGACCGUUUCGAAUUCACUUCUGCUCUGGCUGUUCUUUUUGCAUCAUACUAUAUAUUUAACAUGGAAUAUCCUGCGGAGGCAGCCACCACAUUAGAAUGUAUCCAGAGGGUAGAAGACUCCAGCCCAGGAAAUUGUCUAAUUCAGGCCCGUUUCUGAAGAAAAAUACAGUUCUGGGAGAAAAACAACAUUCAGGGACCAAAUUCUACUGUUUGAAAUCCUGCUGUUUUUAAAUAAUUAAAUUUGCCUUUUAUACAUUCUAAUUUUAACCGAACAUAUUAAUCCAUUUGAACAGGAUUGAUUUGUAUGUUCAGAAAAGUGUUGUUGUAUACAAAACUAAAUGAAAUGUUAACAGACAAAUGUUUACCUAUUGAAGAUUUUUUUUUUUUUUGCUAUGCUAUUUUUAUUUUAUGAAUUUAGAAAUUAAAAGUGUGAAAAGUUAUCAAUAAAUGGCAUUUUUUUGGCAAAAA